rnacentral:lncRNA from 10 species
GAUAGAGUUAUUGGCACAAGAAACUUUAAUUGUAUGGCUGAAGAAUGCGUCACUGACCAGAAGGACCUGUGGCAGAUUCCAGAAAAGGUCUCCCUAUAAGAAGCUGCUGUCCUCCCUAUAACUUAUGGCACUGCGAUUUUUGCUCUUGAGCAUUGGGCCCGUACCCAGCCUGGGUAAUAUAGCUGCUGCUGGAAGUGACGAGAAGUGCAAGCUGGCGAUGCAGAGGGGUGCGCAGUCCAGCGUGAACUACAGUCAGGGCAGCCUGAAGGAUGCAGCAUCAGCAUCAACGAGAACAGCAAGUGGGUGGGUGAAAAGGAAUAGAAGCAGAGAAAAUCAGGAAAUGCUUAUAUAUAGCAAAAACAAAAUACCCAUCUGGAAAAUAUCCAAAAAAUGACUGCAGACUCUCUUAGUUGGCAAUGCCAAAUGCUUUAGAAAUUAUUCAUGUGUUAAAUUCAGUUAUGCCAGUUCUCACUAACUACUUUAUAUCCAUGUCUGUGGGGAAUUCUUGCAGAGGGCAUUGUUCAGCUAUUAGAAUUACUGGGGUGGCAGUUCCCCUUUUCCCAGUUCAUUGUGGACCAAACUACAGGCUCUUCUGAUCUUACUGCUU